CAGUCGAGCGAAGCGCAUAGAUUUGAUUCUUCGGAUGAAGAUCUAUGCGACUGACCGGCGGACGGGUGAGUAACGCGUGGGUAACCUGCCUUACACAGGGGGAUAACAGUUAGAAAUGACUGCUAAUACCGCAUAAGACCCCGGUACCGCAUGGUACAGAGGUAAAAACUGAGGUGGUGUAAGAUGGACCCGCGUCUGAUUAGGUAGUUGGUGAGGUAACGGCUCACCAAGCCGACGAUCAGUAGCCGGCCUGAGAGGGUGGACGGCCACAUUGGGACUGAGACACGGCCCAGACUCCUACGGGAGGCAGCAGUGGGGAAUAUUGCACAAUGGGGGAAACCCUGAUGCAGCGACGCCGCGUGAGCGAUGAAGUAUUUCGGUAUGUAAAGCUCUAUCAGCAGGGAAGAAAAUGACGGUACCUGACUAAGAAGCCCCGGCUAACUACGUGCCAGCAGCCGCGGUAAUACGUAGGGGGCAAGCGUUAUCCGGAUUUACUGGGUGUAAAGGGAGCGUAGACGGCAUGGCAAGCCAGAUGUGAAAUACCGGGGCUCAACCCCGGGACUGCAUUUGGAACUGUUAAGCUGGAGUGUCGGAGAGGCAGGCGGAAUUCCUAGUGUAGCGGUGAAAUGCGUAGAUAUUAGGGGGAACACCAGUGGCGAAGGCGGCCUGCUGGACGAUAACUGACGUUGAGGCUCGAAAGC
rnacentral:rRNA from 1 species